UUGUCCUCACUUCAACCACACAUAAACGAAAAUUGAAAUGAUACAGAGAAGAUUAGCAUGGCCCCUGCACAAGGAUGACAUGCAAAUUUGUGAAGUGUUUCAUAUUUUU